GUGGUGGCUCAGUGGUAGAGCACUUGCCUAGCAUGUGUGAGGCACUGGGUUCUAUUCUCAGCACCACA
rnacentral:tRNA from 1 species